rnacentral:rRNA from 1 species
AGAGUUUGAUCCUGGCUCAGGACGAACGCUGGCGGCGCGCCUAACACAUGCAAGUCGAACGGAGCUGAGAGGAGCUUGCUUUUUCUUUAGUCUUUAGUGGCGAACGGGUGAGUAACGCGUGAGUAACCUGCCCUGGAGUGGGGGACAACAGUUGGAAACGACUGCUAAAUACCGCAUAAGCCCACGGAUCCGCAUGGAUCUGCGGGAAAAAGGAUUUAUUCGCUUCAGGAUGGACUCGCGUCCAAUUAGCUAGUU